rnacentral:rRNA from 1 species
AGUUUGAUCAUGGCUCAGAGCGAACGCUGGCGGCAGGCUUAAUACAUGCAAGUCGAGCGCCCGUAGCAAUACGGGAGCGGCAGACGGGUGAGUAACACGUGGGAACAUGCCCUUCGGUUCGGAAUAACUCAGGGAAACUUGAGCUAAUACCGGAUACGCCCUUACGGGGAAAGAUUUAUCGCCGAAGGAUUGGCCCGCGUCCGAUUAGCUAGUUGGUGAGGUAAUGGCUCACCAAGGCGACGAUCGGUAGCUGGUCUGAGAGGAUGAUCAGCCACACUGGGACUGAGACACGGCCCAGACUCCUACGGGAGGCAGCAGUAGGGAAUAUUGGACAAUGGGGGAAACCCUGAUCCAGCCAUGCCGCGUGUGUGAUGAAGGCCCUAGGGUUGUAAAGCCCUUUCGGCGGGGAAGAUAAUGACGGUACCCGCAGAAGAAGCCCCGGCCAACUUCGUGCCAGCAGCCGCGGUAAUACGAAGGGGGCUAGCGUUGCUCGGAAUCACUGGGCGUAAAGCGCACGUAGGCGGAUCCUUAAGUCGGGGGUGAAAUCCUGGAGCUCAACUCCAGAACUGCCCUCGAUACUGAGGAUCUUGAGUCCGGGAGAGGUGAGUGGAACUGCGAGUGUAGAGGUGAA